rnacentral:rRNA from 1 species
GAGCGAGAAAGGGGGGGCAACUCCCUGAGUAAAGCGGCGCACGGGUGAGUAACACGUGACUAACCUACCUUCGAGUGGGGGAUAACCUAGGGAAACCUGGGCUAAUACCGCAUAACAUCUUUGGAGUGGAAAUUCUGGAGAUCAAAGGGGCAAUUCGCUUGAAGAGGGGGUCGCGGCUGAUUAGCUAGUUGGCGGGGUAAUGGCCCACCAAGGCGAAGAUCGGUAGCCGGCCUGAGAGGGCGCACGGCCACACUGGAACUGAAACACGGUCCAGACUCCUACGGGAGGCAGCAGUGGGGAAUUUUGCGCAAUGGGGGAAACCCUGACGCAGCAACGCCGCGUGGAGGAUGAAGUCCCUUGGGACGUAAACUCCUUUCGACCGGGACGAUAAUGACGGUACCGGUGGAAGAAGCCCCGGCUAACUUCGUG